rnacentral:tRNA from 1 species
UAGGGAGACCAUCUGAUAAUAGACCGAACCUAAACAAUAGGUCGUUGUCAGUCAUCCCUGGUCGUUCGAGGAAUAGAUGUCAAAGCUUUCAAACUAUUAACUGGUUCGGAACUCGCGGGCUAUUAGCUCAGUUGGUUAGAGCGCACCCCUGAUAAGGGUGAGGUCCCUGGUUCAAAUCCAGGAUGGCCCACCUGGAAAAAAGUGAUGAAUUGUCAGUAAUGAGUAAUGCAGCAUCAAUAAUGAUGAAUUCAGGACUCAUAAAAUCAAAAUCAGAACUUGCUUAGUGGGGGUAUAGCUCAGUUGGUAGAGCGCCUGCCUUGCACGCAGGAAGUCAGCGGUUCGAGUCCGCUUACCUCCACUCUCACUAACAAUAACCAACCACAAAAAAUCAAAAGAAAUAGAAAUCAGCACCCAGACUAACUUUGUCAAAGAAGCUCAAAAAAGAAGUCGGAAUGCUGGAGUCUAGAACUCUAGUCAGAACCUUGAAAACUGCAUAGAAAUUAAGUCAUCAAAGCGUGUCAUUUCUCCGAGCAAUCAGAGAAUCAGACAAGCGACCACCAUGAAAAAAUCAAGU